rnacentral:rRNA from 1 species
AUGGCUUAUGGUGGAGAUGAGCAGCAAAGCCAGGAUUAUCUAUUCAAAAUUGUUCUGCUUGGUGACUCUUCUGUUGGCAAAUCAAAUUUGCUAGCCAGAUUUGCUAGGAAUGAGUUCUUUCCAAAUUCGAAAUCCACAAUAGGAGUAGAAUUCCAGACCCAGAAAUUGGUGAUUGAUGGGAAGGAAAUUAAAGCUCAGAUAUGGGACACAGCAGGACAAGAACGUUUCAGAGCAGUCACAUCUGCCUACUACAGAGGAGCCGUUGGAGCUCUACUGGUUUAUGAUAUUACGAGGCGCCAGACAUUUGACAGUGUUGGCCGAUGGCUUAAUGAACUGCACGCUCAUUCCGACAUGAACGUCGUCACAAUUCUGAUUGGCAACAAGACUGAUCUCAAGCAUGCGCGGGAGGUGAGCACUGCGGAAGGCAAAGCCCUGGCCGAGGCGCAAGGCCUCUUCUUCAUGGAAACCUCAGCGCUGGACUCGUCGAACGUCACAGCAGCUUUCCAAACCGUAGUCAAGGAGAUCUACAGCAUACUAAGCAGGAAGGUGUUCCAAUCUCAAGAGCAGAAGAAAAGCGAGCUGCAGUCGCUAAGCAACGGGAAAGCCGUGGUGCUGCAGAGCGAAGCCCCCCGUGACACAAACAGCAGCGGGAGGUGGUGCUGUUCGUCGUAG